rnacentral:misc_RNA from 1 species
GCCAUUGAAAAAAAUCUUAACAAUCACUUGAACAAAUUUUCAUGGAACAUUUCAAAACACACAACAAACGAGGAAAGAAGUCAACUACUCUCAAUUAUGCAACACAUGAAGAUGAAUAGAGUCCGCCCACUGCCGGUCCUACAGCCAAUUCUGGCUGCAACACCCAAACAGUGUACCUACGAAACUCGAAAUACAACCUCUAACUAAACUUCCAAACAAUCUAUAAUAGCAAUAUAAACUGUUCACAACAAAAUUUGUGGGAUGAACAAUUCACUUCCCUCCCUUCUUG